rnacentral:rRNA from 1 species
AUGCGGCCAACGGCAGCGGGCGCAAGCUCUUUCAGCGUGGGCUCGUUUCCCGGCAGCGGCCAAUGGCUCUCAGACCGGAGCCCGGCCGCCAAUGGCUGGCUCUCAGACCAGAGCACGGACCAGCGUCGCCCGUUGCUCCUGGCCUCCGGCAUGACUGCCUGCGGUAGCGGCCCCUCCGCUGCGGAAGCCGCAGCGGCGCCAUGGUGGUAUCUGCUUGUGUCGGUCGUGUGUGAAAGGGAUCGAAGCUUCUGGGGAUUUCCUAUUCCCUCCUUGGUCACUCUCCUUAUCCACUCAGUUGACCAUACUGGUCCUUGCGAUGGCUGUCAAUCUGGCCCAUUUGCAUACCGGGUCACUAGCAGCCCUUGCUUAUUUGCUUGA